GUCUUGGAGUGUUUGUAAGACACUUUCUUGCUUUGAGGACAGCUUCUUGUAAAUAUCUUUUAAUUUUUAAUUAAAUUUGUAAUGUUUAACUUAAGCCUUUGUGUUUUGUGAUGUUUGUAAGACAGCUAUCUAAGAAUAUCUGACUUUUAAAGAAUAUUAACUAACACGUGUGAAAUGUAUUGUUUUUUUUCUUAAUAUGUGACAUUGCCUGUGUGACUGAAAGGUAGUUUUUUAGGUAUUGUUACUUCUAUUUUUCUUAAUAUCACAGGUAACUAUUUAAAUGACUUACAUAUUUUUUCUCAAGCUCUAGCUCAACAUGCAGGACAAAGGUAAGUCCGUACUUAAUGUCAACACAAAUAUUUAGAAAAGUUUUAAAAAUGAUGUAGUGAACUGACUGUAGUCUCUUGUUUUUACAUUAGGUAUAGCCUGUGGCUGAGGGAUCAGAGGUGAGGUGCUUUACACUUGUCCUCUCCCAGCAUUCAGCACUUCAGACACUCAACGUCCAAGACGGAGCUAACAAAGAGAGAUACUCCACCCAGAAGACAGCCUUACCCCAGCCCGAUGAGAAGGAUGGAUGACCAAAUGACAAACUGGAG
rnacentral:lncRNA from 1 species